UAGGGAAUCUUCCACAAUGGACGAAAGUCUGAUGGAGCAACGCCGCGUGAGUGAAGAAGGGUUUCGGCUCGUAAAACUCUGUUGUUAAAGAAGAACAUAUAUGAGAGUAACUGUUCAUACGUUGACGGUAUUUAACCAGAAAGUCACGGCUAACUACGUGUCAG
rnacentral:rRNA from 1 species